CCUACGGGUGGCUGCAGCUAAGAAUCUUGCGCAAUGGGCGAAAGCCUGACGCAGCAACGCCGCGUGGGGGACGAAGGCCCUCGGGUUGUAAACCCCUUUUGCGAGGGAAGAAGUUCUGACGGUACCUCGCGAAUAAGCCACGGCUAACUACGUGCCAGCAGCCGCGGUAAUACGUAGGUGGCGAGCGUUGUCCGGAUUUAUUGGGCGUAAAGCGCCCGCAGGCGGCUUGUUAAGUUUCAGGUGAAAUCUCCCGGCUCAACUGGGAGGGGCCCUGG
rnacentral:rRNA from 1 species